rnacentral:rRNA from 1 species
GGGUGCGAUCAUACCAGCACUAAUGCACCAGAUCCUAUCAGAACUCCGAGGAAAGCGUGCUUGGCGAGAGCAGUACUAGGAUUGGUGACCUCUAGGGAAGUCCUCGUGUUGCACCCC